CGAGCACGCGCGUGUGGCAUAUCAAUAAGCGGAGGAAAAGAAACUAACAUAGGAUUCCCCUUAGUAACGGCGAGUGAAGCGGGAAGAGCUCAAAUUUGAAAUCUUCAAGGGUUCUACCUUGACGAAUUGUAGUUUAAAGAAGUGUUUUCUGUUAGAGAGUUUGGUAAAAGUUCUUUGGAAUAGGACAUCAUAGAUGGGUGAGAAUCCCGUAUUUGAUCCACUUUCUUCCUAACUGUGUGAUACACUUUCAAAGAGUCGGAUUGUUUGGGAAUGCAGUCCAAAAUGGGUGGUAAAUUUCAUCUAAAGCUAAAUAUUGGCGAGAGACCGAUAGCGAACAAGUACCGUGAGGGAAAGAUGAAAAGAACUUUGAAAAGAGAGUUAAACAGUACGUGAAAUUGUCAAAAGGGAAGCGUUUGACACCAGUGUUGUUUUCUCGAAAAUCAAUUACGAAUGUUUUGUUUUUGAGGAGUUAUGACUUCAUCGGCUUGCUCCUUUCUUUACGAAACUUUCUUAAUGCACUUUUCGGUUAACAAGUCAACAUCAAUUUCUUUUGUUGUAAAAGGGUAUGAGGAAGGUGGCUUUCUUUUCGGAGAAAGUGUUUAUAGCCUUGUGCCUCUAGCAAUCGGAGAGAUUGAGGUCUGCAGCGUAGAUCCUUUCUGGAUUAGAUACAUUUGUGCUAAGUUAUAGCUUUUUCAUAGACAACAUUGUUGACUAUAUUUAGUCUUGUAGCUUACUCGCUGAUGCUAUUUUACCUACGCUUAGGAUGUUGAACUCUAUCACACACAG
rnacentral:rRNA from 1 species